GAUGAAGAACGCAGCGAAAUGCGAUAAGUAGUGUGAAUUGCAGAAUUCAGUGAAUCAUCGAAUCUUUGAACGCACAUUGCGCCCCUUGGUAUCCCGAGGGGCAUGCCUGUUCGAGCGUCAUUUCAACCCUCAAGCCCCCGGGCUUGGUGUUGGGGAUCGGCGAGCCUCCGCGCCCGCCGUCCCCUAAAUCUAGUGGCGGUCUCGCUGUAGCUUCCUCUGCGUAGUAGCACACCUCGCACUGGGAAACAGCGCGGCCACGCCGUUAAACCCCCAACUUCUGAACGUUUGACCUCGGAUCAGGUAGGAAUACCCGCUGAACUUAAGCAUAUCAAUAAGCGGAGGA
rnacentral:misc_RNA from 1 species